GUAGACCAAUUUAUUGGGCCCUUUCGCACACCAUUAAUAUGCGCAAGAUCCUCCUUGUUCUCACUUGUUGAGAGUUUAGGCCUCUUUGAGGCCAAUAUUUGGUCCCCAUUUCUUGUCGAAGUGGAUGACGCAAACAUUUCUUCAUGUUUCUCAUUUGAUUUUGAUUUGCGAGCUUUCAUCACCUUUUGAGUAGGCUUCUUUGGCCACUUCAUUAUCAUUCCAUCUCGGUUUAGCCUCGAGUUACAUGCGGCAAUCUCACACAAGGUUUGAGCAGCUGCCAGUACUUUUGGACAAUGCUCAACUUUUCCUCGAUUCUUGAGGCCACCAGAUUCCUUCAUGCAAGUAUCGCCCAGAGGAGUGUGGGAUGUCACAGAAGCGGAUGCUAUUGAGGAACCCCACUCGCACCGAGGAACAAAUGUAGAUGAAGCAAAAUUAUUAUCUAGGAUAGACAGCUUUGUACCACUUGCUGGAACUAAGGUCUCAUCAUAAGCGAAGGACUCCAAGUUUGUAAAAUAAUUAG
rnacentral:misc_RNA from 1 species